UAAUACCGCAUAAGCCCACGGUGCCGCAUGACACUGAGGGAAAAGGAUUUAUUCGCUUUAGGAUGGACUCGCGUCCAAUUAGCUAGUUGGUGAGGUAACGGCCCACCAAGGCGACGAUUGGUAGCCGGACUGAGAGGUUGAACGGCCACAUUGGGACUGAGACACGGCCCAGACUCCUACGGGAGGCAGCAGUGGGGGAUAUUGCACAAUGGGGGAAACCCUGAUGCAGCGACGCCGCGUGGAGGAAGAAGGUUUUCGGAUUGUAAACUCCUGUCGUUAGGGACGAUAAUGACGGUACCUAACAAGAAAGCACCGGCUAACUACGUGCCAGCAGCCGCGGUAAAACGUAGGGUGCAAGCGUUGUCCGGAAUUACUGGGUGUAAAGGGAGCGCAGGCGGGAAGACAAGUUGGAAGUGAAAACCAUGGGCUCAACCCAUGAAUUGCUUUCAAAACUGUUUUUCUUGAGUAGUGCAGAGGUAGAUGGAAUUCCCGGUGUAGCGGUGGAAUGCGUAGAUAUCGGGAGGAACACCAGUGGCGAAGGCGGUCUACUGGGCACCAACUGACGCUGAGGCUCGAAAGCAUGGGUAGCAAACAGGAUUAGAUACCCUGGUAGUCCAUGCCGUAAACGAUGAUUACUAGGUGUUGGGGGAUUGACCCCCUCAGUGCCGCAGUUAACACAAUAAGUAAUCCACCUGGGGAG
rnacentral:rRNA from 1 species